UGGGGGGCAGAGGUUUGGGAUUUGCAGGGCUGAUGUGUCUCUCUGCCUCUCUGAUUUCAGGAAGUGCCCUUCACCUUUCAAAAGGAAGAAAGCAAAGCAAGGAGCUAAUGGGAGGCAGGAGGCGCAGCAGCAGCAGCCUGGCAGCAAGGCUGUCCCAUCAGCAGUGCCCACGUAUGAGGAUGUCCCAGAUGUCCCUGUGUAUGCCACGGUGAGCAGGAGGGGAGUCCAGCAGGAGGAGAGCAUCCACUACGCCGACAUCCAGGUGUUGUGCAGGGCCCAGCAGCGCUCAGCCGCCCCGGUGAGGAGCCUGCAGCAGCACCAGCCCACCGAGUACGCCACCCUCAACUUCCCCAGGGCCAGGCUCAAGUACGACAGCAAAAACGGGACCUUGGUCUGAGAGAAACCAGGGCCUCGUGCUGCUGCUCUGGCAGGGAAAGGAGCUCGAACCAUGGACUCCUCCUUCAGGAGGAAAAGGAGCUCAGCCCAUGGAUUCAUCCUCCAGCAGGGAAAGGAGCUCAGCCCAUGGACUCCUCCUUCAGGAGGAAAAGGAGCUCACCCCAUUGACUCAUCCUCCAGCAGGGAAAGGAGCUCAGCCCGUGGCCUUGUCUUCCAUCAGGAAAAGGAGCUCAUCCCAUGGCUUCAUCCCUCAACAGGAAAAGGAGCUCACCCCAUGGACUCCUCCUUCAGGAAAGGGAGCUCAGCCCAUGGCCUUGUCCUGCUCCUCCAUCAGGGAAAGGAGCUCACCCCAUGGCCUUGUCCUUCAGCAGGGAAAGGAGCUCAGCCCAUGGUUUCAUCCUCCUCUUCCAUCAAAAAAAGGAGCUCACCCCAUGGCCUUGUCUUCCAUCAAAAAAAGGAGCUCACCCCAUGGCCUCAUCCUGCUCCUCCAUCAGGGAAAGGAGCUCACCCCAUGGACUCAUCCUACAGCAGGGAAAGGAGCUCACCCCAUGGCCUUGUCUUCCAUCAGGAAAAGGAGCUCAGCCCGUGGCCUUGUCCUGCCCCUCCUGAAUUCAGCACUAAAGGGAGGUUCUGCUGCUGCCUUUGGGAAUUCAGAAAUUCAGGACUAAAGUGAGGUUUUGGUGCUCCCUUUGGGGAGUCAGGAAUUCAGCACUAAAAGCACUAAAGGGAGGUUUUGGUGCUGCCCUUGGGAAUUUGGGAAUUCAGGAAUUCAGCACUAAAGGGAGGUUCUGGUGAGGGUUUUGUGUCAGUGUUAAAGCUCUGAGCCUGCAGAGUGACUCGUGGCUGGUGCUGUGAGGAGAUCAGACCUUCAGCAGGAUCUGCUGCUCCUGCAGGUGCAGCCAGGCCCUGGUGCAUCCCCUUGCCCCAAAAUCAGUGCUGUGCAGCCAUGCACGGUACCUGGCAGCCAGAAAUGCACAAUUAGGAGGGCACAGAAGGAUUUCUGUCACUGCUGGGCUGCUCAGAGGUGCAUCCUCUGUGCAAACAAGUGAGGAGUGAGCUCCUGGCUCGGGCUGGAAGUGAAACAAGGGAAAAUUGGCGGUUUAGCUGCAGAUCAGUGCCUAUUUUUAGGGCAGUUCUCUGAGUCCAGCAGCUGCCUGGGGAACUGGGAAUGAACCCUGGGCAGCCUCAGAGAAGACUUUGGACUUUGCCUCCACUUUUCCCUCAUUUUGUGCUGUCAGCCCUUGUUGUAAACCCCAGUGACACCGAGCACACACCCCGUGGGGCUGCCAGCUCCACCUCUGUUUGUGGGUUUGCAAGAGUGUCAAUAAUUCAGCGUAGCAAUGGUCCAAACUGGGCAGCACUGGCACCAGGGCUCCCCAAACCCCUUCUGCAGGCACUAAAGCAAGGCUGGCACAUUCUGCUCCUCAGUCAGGGCCUGCAGAGCAGAUUCUGGGGCAGCCCCAGUCACUGGCAGCGUUUAGAGAUGGAGAUUUUAUUAUUAACACAUAGAACUUUGCAGGGAUGGUUCCUUUUAUAAACACAAACAACUCUGCAGGGAUGGUUCCUUUUAUAAACACACACAAGUUUUCAUUUUACAACUCAGCUGGGUGGGAAAAGCAUGAAGGAGUUCCUGCUCAUGAUGAAAAAUAAAGGUGCUCCAGGCUGUGUUUGCCGAGGUGGG
ensembl:lncRNA